rnacentral:lncRNA from 1 species
CACAUUCUUCUUCCAGACCCGAAUGGUGUGAACUCGAAGUCCUGCCCCCUUACAUCCAAAUUGGCUUUCUCUUUCAGGAACCUCUCAGGCUGAAAUUCCAAUGGGUUAGCCCAAAUGUUAGGGUCACGAUGCAACUUCCAGAGGUUAACCACAAGGCGCGUGCCUGCUGGGAUGUGGAAGUCAGCUACAGUGCAAUCCUCCAUGGCUUCCCUUGGUCCUGAGAGUGGUGCUGGCGGGUGUAGUCUGAAUGUUUCCUUGACAAUGGCUUGCAAAUAUACAAGGUUCUUUAUGUCUGUCUCCGCCACUUGGCGGUGCUUUCCGACGUGGGUGUCAAGCUCAUCUUGAGCUUUUUUAAGCAUAUUUCUAUUGUUUAGUAGCAAAGCUAGUGGCCAUAUCAGAGCUAUCGUUAUUGUGUCACUGCCUCCCAAUAGAAGGCUCUGCCAUAGAGAUUACUUGAUACUGUGAGAUGAUGGAGUAAAAAAGUGAUUUAUAUACACAUAUACGAAAUUUAUUCCUUUAAUUUAUUAGGAUUUAUAUGACCCUUAGAGAUUACUAUGUCUGCUAUAUAGUACACUUUCUUUUUUUGACAAAUACUAUAAUGCAAAAUGCAAAAAUCGAACAUAAGCACUGGAUGUUUUGCCUAGCUGUAUGCAGUAUUGCAGAAAAUGAAAGACAGAGCAAGGGCCUCGAGUUAGAGACUUUCCUGAAAACUUAAAUCAAAUACAGAUCAUCAUUUACCCAAACUUGUGACAACAUGUGAAAAAAGCAAGUUUUGCCCCAGUUGCUUGAGUAGUAGGUUUCAGCUGCAACAGAAAAGUAUGAAACUUUUAAUUGCAGAAAUUUGCUAGAUACUUACCAAGCAACUAGCCUUAACGGUUGUGUCAGCUUCAUCAACAGAAACGUUACUAUCAUUCAUGAUAGAAAGCAUGACAUCGAUGAAAUCUUUCUCCUCCUCGCUGAUGCUUCUGUUGAGCCUGAUUCUUCGAUGCUCGUCCACCCAGCUCCCAAGCACGCAAUCUAACUCCCUUGCCGUUCUUUUCAUUUUUCCUAUAUAUCCCUUCACCAAAUCCAGCCAACUAAACAAUGGAACAGCAUCUGAAGCAAAAUUUAACCCCACUAGAUACAAGAAAUGUCGUAAAGCCUCUUGACACCUCUUUGCCUCUUGAUUGCCUUUUGCAUCGGCACUAAAAUAUCGCUUCCCAGAAAUCAUUCUAACUAUUAUGUUCAUUGCCAUGUCCGCUAAUCUUUGCUUCAUUUCCACGACAACUUGCCCUCCAUUCCUUGACGAUUUCUCAUAAAACUCUUUCAUGAGCAAACUGGUUUCUGUGUACCUGACAUGCUUGAGCAACUCUAGCCUAUGAUUGGAGAGGAGUUCAACCAUGACCAACUUCCUGAUAUCACGCCAAUAUCGCCCAUACGGUGCAAAGCCGAACGUGGUUUGGUUAUAGCCCAUGAUCUUUAAUGCUAAGGAUUUUGGACGUGUGGAAAAGACCCUAUCAUUUGCAGUGAAACAUUCUUUCACAACUUCCCAAUCGCUCACCACAAUUGUUGGAUGAAUUCCAAGGCGGAUAGAGAAGAUUGACCCGUACUCAUCUGCCAUGCCCCCUAGUGUUUUAUGCAGCAGCUGGUUUCUUCCUCCAAGAAGAUGUAGGUGGCCAAUUACAGGCCAUGACCCUGCUACCUCUGGAGGCAUCUUGCCAUUUUUCUUGUUUCCCUUGGCAAAUAUUGUGGCCAAGACAACAGAAGUUAUUGCAAGAAGAAGGGCAAACAAGGAGAUUCCUCGUAGCUCAGUCAAGGUUUUCAUGGUUUAGUUCGUAAUGAAGAUUGGUGAUUUGUCAACAUUUUUUCCAGAUGAUACUGAAAGAAACUUCUGAAUUUAGACAAAUGAAAUAUUUUUUAUGGCUCACAUCUUAUUUUUGUUCACAUAUUGACAGCUCAUUUAUGCGAAGUGAAUCAGUCUAGCUGAUGGUUACUGAUGGGGGGAUUUUCCAGUCUGGUUUGGCACGUCUAUCUUAUUCAACUAGUCUUCUCUAUAAACAAAAGAAAAGAAGAGAAAAUUACCAUCACCAAGUUUGGCAAAAAACGACAAUAUAUACAGUAAAUGAUCUCUCCAUGCAAAUGAUUUUCUUGAUCAUUAUACUAAUUAUUCACGAAAAAACGACAGGAUACCAAACAAUCAGACUUUUUUCAGCACAAGCUCCGUUUUUUCCAGAAUAAGACAGGCAUGAUCCACCUGUGAGACUUUUGUGUUAAAUUGUGGCCCCUGACAGCACAGUGUUUUUAAAAUAUAUGUAACUUGACUAUAGUAAAUUAAAAACCACGAAAUAAAAACUUGACUAUAAGAUCAGUUCAACAGUUAUUGCAAUACAUUGGCAAUAAAAAACACUUCCUGCCUUUAUUCUACCUUUGUUUUACAUAUUUUUAUAAAGGAUUGCACAAUGAUCUCCUUGUGCUUGCUGCUUAGAAUUCGUAAGCGAUGGAAGGUAACCUUGGCCUGAGGACAACCUCCAAUGGUGUUGCUUUGGGGACUGUCAAUCCAGGGCUUUCAGUCAUAUCGACUGGAGUAUCCGAGACUGUCCUCAAUUCAAACCCGUGAAGAAGCCGAGCAAGUGUCAGGUGCACAACCUGGACAACGAAUGACACCGCAGGGCACAUUCUUCUUCCAGACCCGAAUGGUGUGAACUCGAAGUCCUGCCCCCUUACAUCCAAAUUGGCUUUCUCUUUCAGGAACCUCUCAGGCUGAAAUUCCAAUGGGUUAGCCCAAAUGUUACGGGUCCCGAUGCAACUUCCAGAGGUUAACCACAAGGCGCGUGCCUGCUGGGAUGUGGAAGCCAGCUACAGUGCAAUCCUCCAUGGCUUCCCUUGGUCCUGAGAGUGGUCCUGGCGGGUGUAGCCUGAAUGUUUCCUUGACAAUGGCUUGCAAAUAUACAAGGUUCUUUAUGUCUGUCUCGGCCACUUGGCGGUGCUUUCCGACGUGGGUGUCAAGCUCAUCUUGAGCUUUUUGAAGCAUAUUUCUGUUGUUUAGUAGCAAAGCUAGUGCCCAUAUCAGAGCUAUCGGUGUUGUGUCACUGCCUCCCGCUAGAAGGCUCUGCCAUAGAGAUUACUUGAUACUGUGAGAUGAUGGAGUAAAAAAGUGAUUUAUAUAAACAUAUACGAAAUUUAUUCCUUUAAUUUAUUAGGAUUUAUAUAACCCUUAGAGAUUACUAUGUCUGCUAUAGUACACUUUCUUUUUUUGACAAAUACUAAAUGCAAAAUGCAAAAAUCGAACAUAAACUCUGGAUGUUUUGCCUAGCUGUAUGCCGUAUUGCAGAAAAUGAAAGACAGAGCAAGGGCCUCGAGUUAGAGACUUUCCGGAAAACUUAAAUCAAAUACAGAUCAUCAUUUACCCAAACUCCUUUCAGACAUGUGAAAAAAGCAAGUUUUGCCCAGUUGCUUGAGUAGGUUUCAGCUGCAACAGAAAAGUAUGUAACUUUUAAUUGCAGAAAUUUGCUAGAUACUUACCAAGCAACUAGACUUAACGGUUGUGUCAGCUUCAUCAACAGAAACGUUACUAUCAUCCAUGAUAGAAAGCAUUACAUGGAUGAAAUCUUUCUCCUCCUCGCUGAUGCUUCUGUUGAGCCUGAUUCUUCGAUGCUCCUCCACCCAGCUCCCAAGCACGAAAUCUAACUCCCUAGCCGUUCUUUUCAUUUUUCCUAUAUAUCCCUUCACCAAAUCCAGCCAACUAAACAAUGGAACAGCAUCUGAAGCCAAAUUUAACCCCAAUAGAUAGAAGAAAUUUCCUAAAGCUUCUUGACUCCUCUUUGCCUCUUGGUUGCCUUUUGCAUCGGCACUAAAGUAUCGCUUCCCGGAAAUCAUUCUAACUAUUAUGUUCAUUGCCAUGUCCGAUAAUCUUUGCUUCAUUUCCACGACAACUUGCCCUCCAUUCCUUGACGAUUUCUCAUAAAAAUCUUUCAUGAGCAAACUGGUUUCGGAGUCCCUGACAUGCUUGAGCAACUCAAGCCUAUGAUUGGAGAGGAGUUCAACCAUGACCAACUUCCUGAUAUCACGCCAAUAUCGCCCAUACGGUGCAAAGCCGAACAUGGUUUGGUUAUAGCCCAUGAUCUUUAAUGCUAAGGAUUUCGGACGUGUGGAAAAGACCCUAUCAUUUGCAGUGAAACAUUCUUUCACAACUUCCCAAUCGCUCACCACAAUUGUUGGAUGAAUUCCAAGGUGAAUAGAGAAGAUUGACCCGUACUCAUCUGCCAUGCCCCCUAGUGUUUUAUGCAGCAGCUGGUUUCUUCCUCCGAGAAGAUGUAGGUGGCCAAUAACGGGCCAUGACCCUGCUACCUCUGGAGGCAUCUUGCCAUUUUUCUUGUUUCCUUUGGCACAUAUUGUGGCCAAGACAAUAGAAAUUAUUGCAAGAAGAAGGGCAAACAAGGAGAAUUCUCGUAGCUCAGUCAAGGUUUUCAUGGUUUAGUUCGUAAUGAAGAUUGGUGAUUUGUCAAUAUUUUUUCCAGAUGAUUCUGAAAGAAACUUCCGAAUUUAGACGAAUGAAAUGAUUUUUUAUGGAUCACAUCUUAUUUUUGUUCACAUAUUGACAGCGCAUUUAUGCGAAGUGAAUCAGUCUAGCUGAUGGUUACUGAUGGGGGGAUUUUCUUGUCUGGUUUGGCACGUCUAUCUUAUUCAACUAGUCUUCUCUGUAAACAAUAAAAAACGAAGAGAAAAUUACCAUCACCAAGUUUGGCAAAAAAACGACAAUAUAUACAGUAAAUGAUCUCUCCAUGCAAAUGAUUUUCUUGAUCAUUAUACUAAUUUAUUCACGAAAAAACGACAGGAUACCAAACAAUCAGAAAUUUUUCAGCACAAUCUCAGCUUUUUCCAGAAUAGGAUAGGCAUGAUCCACCAGUGAGACUUUUGAGUUAAAUUGUGGCCACCCGACGGCAAAGUGCCUUUGGGGACCAUCAAUCUCGUGACAUUGAUACCAUGAGUACAGAAUUUCCAUGCGGUGGGUGAUCAUAAAAAAUAUACAGUAAAAGUCACCUACACAAAUCCAGUAUCUUGGUGUUUUUUUUUAAUCUGUUUUUCUAAAUUUUGUAAGUUGUUUUUAUUUUUUUUAAAAUAUCAAAUUAAUAUUUUUUAAAAUACUUUUCGAUGAAUUUAAUGAUUCCCUAGCAAUAGAACAUCUCUCUUUACAUAUAUUUUUUUUAAUGUUUUUUAAGGCUCAAACUCAUUUUCUGUAAUUUCAUAGAAUAGCUUGACAAAUUCCUUAGUUUCCACAAUUGAAGUGUCUCCUCUGCAUUUGCAGCAUCACCUAGUUACUCUUUUUGUGUAGUAAAAAUACAAUUACUUCAUUGGAGCAGGAGAGAUUUAUGUUCUGUUAUCAAAUUUCACUAACAAGAUUUGAUGGAUGCCCAGAACUUGUUUGUCUGAAGGGGAUUUGUGUUGAUCUAUGUGUUCAUUCUUAAAAUUGCUUGAUCAUGUUAUCUUUUUAGGUGGAUUUCUAAAUAGAUCUUGAAAUGGUUGUAUCAUGUUCUUCACGUGGAAAUUAUUUAUUGAGUUGGAACCGUUUACGCAAAAGAUUAGUAAAAUAAUCAUUACCUUGAGAUUUUAUUAAAGAAAAAUGGAUAAAUCAUGGUUGAAAAAGAAAUAUAAGCGGAGGGAAUAUGAUUGAAAGAGAGAAUUUGUAGAGAAUAAAAUUGAAAGAGAUAUAAAUCUUCAAUAGAAAAUGUCUUUUUUAUAUAAAAAUUUAAAUUAAAGGAUACAACAUAUAGUUGUUUAAUAAAAUGGUCAAAAAAUAUUUAAUGGCAAAAAAUUAUUUAACGGGAAAAAAAACAAUGCAUUUUCCAUGUCUUUCUCUGUCCCUUCAACAGAACAUCAUCAAAAUAAAAACUCCACGUUUUUUUCACUUUAAUUAGAUCAUAUUCCCAAUCACCACAUGCCCCCGUCGUCUCGCCCACAGCUCCUCCACUGUCGGAAAGCAAACCUCCAUCAUCAUCAUCAUCAUCAUCAAAAUUAAAUCCAUUGAAAUAAGUAUUCCGUAAAAAGUGCUGAAAAAAGGAAAAAGAAGAAAGAGGCAAGUGUCUUGAUGGAUGAGAGAAAAGUUCCAGCGAUUGGAAAUAUGAUUUGACAUGAAUGGCUCCACCAUACUACUUUCAAGUUUUAUACUUUCCUUUUCUCCGGGUGCUGUAACUUCAACUUGGUGGAGGGGAGCUGGACACGAAUAUGAAAACACCGUCUUCCAGAUCUCCACCGCAAAAGGAAGGUAAUAUACCUGGAAUCUUUUUUAAUUUGUCAUCGUUCAAUUUAAUGAGGCCAAUAAGAGAACCAAUUAUUGAACAAGUGGAGACAUCUUAUGUGCUACGCUUGUAUGUUGGAGGACACGUCACUAUCGACUACAUGCAGAUAGGUUAAUCGUGUGGCCUUCACAGCCUUGAAGAGACAAUAUGCAAAAGCAAAUUUAAUUGCAUCGCAAAACAUACUUUAAUUCGUAUGUAUUUUUUUAACCGAUAUAAGAAGAUGUGGCUGUGAGAAGAUUUUGUUGCGAUAGCAAUUACUAGGGUACAUGGAUGACCGUUGGGCGAGAUGUAAUAAAUUAAUUACAUAAGUGGUAAAUUAAAUUAUUUUCAAUUUAGUUUGAUUUUUAUUAAAAAUAAUAAUUAAAUGACAUUUAAAAAAAAAUUAAAACCAGUUCAAACCGAUUAAUUUUGGUUCUGUUUCUUAGGAUAAAAACCGAUUCAAACUAAUUUGGUUUAAUUUUCUUGAUUUUGGCUCGGUUUUAUCGGUUUUAGCUCAUUUUUUUCCUUAAUUUUUUUGGUUUGGGUUCAGUUCGGUUUUUUAAUUUUUUAUUUAUAAAACCAAAACUAAACAUGUUGAUUUUUUUAAAAAUUUUAAUCAAUUUUUUUUUACAGUUUGAUUUUUUAAAAUUUAAUUUAUUUAGGUUUUUUAAUUUAAUUGAUUUUUUUAGCUGUGUUUGAGUAUGUGUCAACGAGGGAGGGAGGGAGACAUGCACAUUUAUUGGGGGAGACAAGUGGGCCUCAGGAAUGGCUUGUCUCGGGACUUGGGUUUGGACAAUGUAUCGAUCGAAUCUCUUCGACGUUUGUACAGUUGUGCUGUUGUGAAGGGUACAUGUAGUUUUUGACCCUCUCCUAAUUUCUCAUCUGAGGAGGCAUCUGGAUCGGAGAAGGAAAAAGAAAAGAAAGAUAAAUUUAAAUUUCAAAAAAAUAUCAUAUGUAUUAUUAUUAUUAUUAUUAUUAUAAAAGAAAUAUCCUUAAUUAACAAAGAAGUUAAGGUACAAACGAUAUCCUUGAUUAACAAAAGAACAACCAACCAAGAAACUGGCUAUAUAUAGUGGCUAAAAUUUCUCAUUCAGUCUCCUCCACAAAAGCUUCGACUCGAAGAAGAACAAAUCCCACUGCAACUCCAACAAGAACAAGCCCAUUCAUGAUUGCUGCUAUCCUGAAUAUCUCACCAACAUCACUGCAGGUUGAAGAGAGUGCACCCCCACUCCUGCCUUUACCCUUUGAUGGAGCUCUCAAUGAGCUCACCACCUUUGCAAAGGACUGCUCGGUGCAUACUGGCUGGCCUAAUGAACUCACACUGUUGUGAGCUUUUAGCCCACCAAAAGAAUCCAGUCCUGUUAUGUACUUCACUUUGAUUUGCUUCCACUCAGGACUGCUAACUGUGGCAGUAGCACGCGUUGCUGGAGAAAGCGUUGCUGAGGCUGUUGCCAUUGACCCAAAACCUGCAAUAUGUAAGAUGAGAAACAGGAACACAAUCACACCUUGUACACACCAAAAACAGAACUUACAAGUACUACUAACUACUAUCUAAUUUAAUGAAAUAAGCGUCGUAUGCCUAACAGAGGAAUAUGCAUGUAGUGACCUUUUUUUUCGGUGGUGUUUGUCGGGUUAGAAAUAUUACAAAUAUGAUUGGAAAGGAAGGAAAUGGAAACAUAACUUUGUAUGGAAAAGAACGAGAGAGGAUGGAUAAGGAAACAAUGAGCACCUCUAAAUGCCAGCCAGGAAAACAAAAUUGAAUAACUUUACAGUCCAAGCACCAUGGUCUCCAAUUCAAUUCAAUAAAUCAAAAGAAUCCAGGCCCAGUCCCAUUUUAAAGUAGACCAAAAACGAGACCGACCAAGCCCAAAUAAGAUCCCUAAAAAGAGACUUUCUUCGGACUGAAACAUCAACCGUGUUCUGAUAAGCCCCUAAAUAUACUUCAAUAAGCACCCUCUACAAAAGCUCUCGGUGCAACCUUCUUUCCCAACCUCAUCAGCUCAAACACGCAAACAUUUCCUCCCACCAAAUUGUUGUCCGCCGUCCCAUUAUCAAAUUCAACCCUCCGCCUUUUCUCCAUUUUGUUUGACUCUUUUCCGUCACAAAUCUGAAGUCUGAAGCAUUCAGAAUCUUCUUGCGGACGGACACCUGUUAGCGGAUGUACUGCAUAAAUCAGCAAGAAUUGCAAUAAUUAGAACUUAACAAACACCUCAAAGAUUGCAUUUUUGUAAAGGCUCGCCAAAACAACACUGUGCAGGCUUAUUAUAAGAGCUGUAAGUACACAUUGAAAAUAAUAAAAUUAUCUACUACAUUUUCGUAAAGGCUCACCAGUAGAUCAUGCUUACUAUAUAAGUUCCUGCAAGAUAGUCAUGAAUGAAGGAUUUUUUGGGCUGGACAUCCAUGCUAUGCUGGCUUUACGCGCUGCAUUUGUAGUUCCUUAUGACGCCUUUGCUAAUGUGGCAAGAUUUUUUAAAACUAGUGAUGAUUUCCUCCGAUUCUUCCUGAUCUGCACAUUAUAGAUUCAUAAAUUAAGCACCAUCAUGGAUGUAUACACAAAGAGCUCACGAACUUAUUCUGAUGAAGUUCCUUUCUUUAAUGAGAGUUUUUUUUAAAAAAAAAAACAGGAUUUAUUAUGUGGUUAUCAAAAUUGAAAGCUUACAUUCAAAUUGGAGAAAAAUAUUCAUUGUUAUCAUAAGAUAGGUUUCGUAAGGUGCAAAGUCACUUAUGAUGUCGAAGAUUGGUGAUAAGAUGUUCUAGAAAAUAGAGUUCGUGAUGGUAUGCCGAUAAUCCCAUCAUAAUAAGCUAUGAAAACAUUGUUAAUUUUGAAUUAUAUAAAAUGAUAACAAAGAGAUUUUAUAAUGAGCAUAUUAUUAUUACUAUCUUUCUGUUCAUGAAGAUUUACUAUCGUCAAUAUUUAUUGCUCUGCUACUCCCUUUGAUUCAAUUAUGGCCACAAGGGACAGGGGAGCUAAGUCUAACUGAUGGUGACCAGAUGCUAACAAUUUUCUUGUCUGCUUUUGCCAAUUUCAGCUUUCUGCUAGUCCUUCUGUCCAAAUUUGUCUCCACUGAAAUUUUUAAGUUCGAAAAAAAACGCACCAAAUGAUAUAGUUGAUAAAAAUAGACAAUAGUAAAUUAAAAACCACGAAAUAAAAACUUGACUAUAAGAUCAGUUCAACAGUUAUUGCAAUACAUUGGCAAUAAAAAACACUUCCUGCUUUUAUUCUACCUUUGUUUUACAUAUUUUUAUAAAGGAUUGCACAAUGAUCUCCUUGUGCUUGCUGCUUAGAAUUCGUAAGCGAUGGAAGGUAACCUUGGCCUGAGGACAACCUCCAAUGGUGUUGCUUUGGGGGACUGUCAUUCCAGGGCUUUCAGUCAUAUCGACUGGAGUAUCGGAGACUGUCCUCAAUUCAAACCCCUGAAGAAGCCGAGCAAGUGUCAGGGUGCACAACCUGGACAGCGAAUGACACCGCAGGGCACAUUCUUCUUCCAGACCCGAAUGGUGUGAAUUCGAAGUCCUGCCCCCUUACAUCCAAAUUGGCAUGCUCUUUCAGGAACUUCUCAGGCUGAAAUUCCAAUGGGUUAGUCCAAAUGUUAGGGUCACGAUGCAACUUCCAGAGGUUAACCACAAGGCGCGUGCCUGCUGGGAUGUGGAAGAGCUAUCGUUAUUGUGUCACUGCCUCCCAAUAGAAGGCUCUGCCUCUCAUUCAGUCUCCUCCACAAAAGCUUCGACUCGAAGAAGAACAAAUCCGACUGCAACUCCAACAAGAACAAGCCCAUUCAUGAUUGCUGCUAUCCUGAAUAUCUCACCAACAUCACUGCAGGAUGAAGAGAGUGCACCCCCACUCCUGCCUUUACCCUUUGAUGGAGCUCUCAAUGAGCUGACCACCUUUGCAAAGGACUGCUCGGUGCAUACUGGUGUUGAAAGCUAAGCUGAUUACUUUUGAUAAAAAAUCGAUGAAGAAGACUGCAACAAGAAGGAUGAAGAAGUUGCAGAAAUUCUGUUAAAACAGUUAAGAAGGCAGUUAAAACCGUUAUUUUUGUUUUCUGUUUUUACUGUUACAAAACUGACUGUAAAUCAUUUCCACGUGAGAUGAUCUUGAUUCCUAAAAUAAAGGAAUCAGUUACAUAAAUUGUGUAUAAAAGCAAUGGUUACAGAAUUGAAAGUAAUAAGAAAAUAUACAGAACUUCUUCAUAAUCUUCUCUGCACAUUUAAAGCUUUAUUCUUUCUAUCCUCUUCUUCUUCUUCUCCAACGAAAUACAAGAAAAUCAACAUGGUAUCAGAGCACUCAAACUGAUUCCUGAGAGGGGUGUAGACUGUGAAAGAGAGAUUGAUUAAACUGUUAAUUACUCAAAAAUGGUAGGAUCAAGCUCAGCUGGAGGAGACUUAAGAACUCCACAGUUCAAUGGCACGAAUUAUGAUUUUUGGGCUGUAAAAAUGGAAAUUGUCCUCAUAGCACUCGAUCUAUGGGAAGUAGUUGAAGAUGGAAUAAAAUCUCAUCAAGCACCUGAGAUUGCAGUUGGAUCAGGCGAUGAAGAGAGUGAGGCUGAUCAAAUUAUACUGCAUGCAUCCACGACAUCCAGAGAAGAAAAAAUAUCAAGAAUGCAAAGGCUUUAAGCCUCAUACAAGGAGCAUUAACAGAUGAUCUUUUCCCACGUAUAAGAAAUGAGAAAACUGUAAAAGGAGCAUGGGACAUCUUGAGCAGAGAAUUCAGAGGAGAUAAAAAGGUUAGAGCAGUAAAACUUCAAGGAGUAAGAGCAGACUUUGAAUAUUUGAGAAUGUCAGAAAGUGAAAGCUUAGAUGGUUAUCUAGCUAAAUUCUUUGUAACUAUAAACAACCUAAAAUCAUUAGGUGAAGAUGUAUCAAAAAACAGAAUUGUGUAGAAAUUGUUAAUGAGUCUAAGCAGAAGAUAUAAGUCUAUUGUGUCAAUCAUUGAAGAGACACGUGAUCUUGAAGUUCUAAGAGAAGAAGAAGUCAUUGCUUCUGUUAAAGUAUAUGAUAAGAGGAAGGAUCUGCAUGAUGAAAGGGAUAAGCUAAGAGGAACAGAAAAAGCCUUUAGCAGUUUUAAAAUUGGAAACAAUCAAGGUUACAAUUCUCACAAGAAUUUUCAAGGCAGACCUACUCAAAAAUGGCAACCACAAGACAGGAAGGGAUCAAACUGGAAUCCAAACAGAACUCUGAAUAGCUACAGCAAUUCAAACUGGAAUAACACUGGUGGAGGGAGCAGUCAAGCAGGAGAAAAACCACAGUGUCAAGUCUGUCAAAAACAUCAUUUUGGAUUGUGCAGACACAAAGGAAAACCAAGAUGUGGAAGAUGCAAUCGUUUGGCCAUAUUACAAAAGAUUGUGAAAGUCAGAAUCACAAACAACUUGCAAAUUAUGCUAAAGAAGAAGGAGUCAUCACUGGAACCAUGUUCUAUGCUUGCCAUGCUGCAAGUUUGCAAGACAAAAAGAUAUGGUUUGUGGAUAGUGCCUGCUCACAUGACUUCUCAAGAAUCUGAACUAAUCAACAUUGAUAGAUCAGUAACAUGCAAAGUGAAGAUGGGCUCAGGAGACCUUGUGCAAGCUACUGGAAAAGGUACAUUGGUUGUGGAAACUCAGCAUGGGAAGAGAUACAUAAAAGAAGUAUUGCUUGUUCCCAGAUUGGAUGAAAACUUACUAAGUGUAGGCCAGAUGAUGGAGCAUGGCUAUUACAUUCUGUUUGGAGGUAACAAGGCAGUAAUAUUUGAUGAUGAAAGCCUCAACAAUGUUAUAGCAAUAGUAAUCAUGGGAGGAAAUCGAUGCUUUCCACUUUCACUUAAAAGUAUUACACCUGCAGCAAGGAAAGCUUUAGUGACUGAGGAUUCUUGGAUAUGGCAUAGGAGACUUGGACACUUGAACUUUGCCAACAUGAAAAAGAUGCAAUAGAAAGAGAUGGUGUGUGGACUUCCUGCUCUGACUGAAGUAGAAGAUGUUUGUGCAGGUUGUGCAUCAGGCAAACAUCAUAAGGAGAAAUUCAUCAAAGAGCAAGCAAUCCACUGGAAUUGAUCCACACUGAUCUGUGUGGACCAAUGCAGAAUGAUUCUGUGGGAGGGAACAGAUACUUCAUCACAUUCAUUGAUGAUUACUCAAGAAUAUGUUGGGUAUACUUUCUCAGAAAUAAAUCUGGUGCACUGAAUGUAUUCAAAAAAUUCAAAGCAUUCGUUGAACUGCAAAGUGGACACAAACUGAAGAAGCUAAGAAGUGACAGAGGAGGAGAAUAUACUUCCAAAGAAUUUGAAGAAUUAUGUGAGAAGCAAGGAAUGGAGAGGCAAUUGACAGUUGCAUACUCCCCUCAACAGAAUGGAGUUGCAGAAAGGAGAAACAGAACAAUUUGUGAGAUGGGGAGAUCUAUGCUGAUAGAGAAAGGAAUGUCAGUAACCUUCUGGGCAGAAGCUGUUAAUACAGCUGUGUAUAUACAGAAUAGAUGUUAUACAACAUUUGUUGCAGAAAAGACUCCUUUUGAAGCCUUCACGGGAAGGAAGCCAGGAGUCAAGCAUUUGAAGGUGUUUGGUUGCUUGUGUUACACACAUAUCCAUCAUCACUAAGGCAGAAAUGGGAUAGCAAAGCUGGAAAGGGAGUGUUUGUUGGAUAUGGCAGCUGUGAAAAGGGUAUAGGAUAUAUGAUCUGAAAACUGAGAAGAUUGUUCUCUCAAGAAGUGUGAUUUUCAGUGAAGAUAAAGCAUGGAAUUGGAAGGGAAAUCUGAUGAACCAAAUCCACUUGUCCUUCAAUCAUGAAGGAGGUAUAAUUGAAGGUGAGAAUCUUGAGAAACACACUUCUAAAAUUCAACCCGACAAUGUUGAACAUUGCAAUCAAAAUCCUAUAGUUGAAGAGUCAGUUGAGAAGAUUGACAGUGCUAACAGUCAACAAUCUUCACCAAGCUCUACUCCAGUGAAAUUGAAAAUCUUGGAAGACAUAUAUGCAAGGUGUCACAUGUGCAUCAUAGAACCUGAGAAUUAUCAAGAAGCUGCUGGGGAUAAAGCCUGGCAGGAGGCUAUGAAGGAAGAGUUGGAAGUGAUAGAGAAGAACAAUACUUGGGAAUUGGUGGAAAGACCAAGUGAUAAACCUGUGAUAAGAGUGAAAUGGGUGUACAAAACCAAGCUUCAUCUUGAUGGAUCAGUUCAGAAACACAAGGCUCGACUUGUAGCAAAGGGUUAUGCAUAGAAAUAUGGAAUUGAUUACAAUGAAACCUUUGCACCAGUAGCAAGGUUAGACACAAUUCGAACUCUCAUUGCACUUACAGCACAGAAGGGGUGGAAGUUGUUUCAAUUGGAUGUCAAGUCAGCAUUCCUAAAUGGUGUACUUGAAGAAGAAGUAUAUGUUGAACAGCCUGAAGGGUUUGAAGUAAAGAAUGCAGGACAUAAAGUUUACAAACUAAAGAAGGCUUUGUAUGGAUUAAAACAGGCACCGAGAGCCUGGUAUAGUGAGAUUGAUACAUAUCUCUCUAUGUGCAAUUUUAAAAGGAGUGGAAGUGAAGCUACUCUAUAUACAAGAUCAGACAUGGAAGGUAAUUUGAUCAUAGUUUCAAUCUAUGUUGAUGACAUUGUGUACACUGGCAGCAGUGAGAGGCUUCUCAAUGAAUUCAAAAGGGAAAUGAUGCAGAGAUAUGAGAUGUCUGAUCUUGGACUUCUUCACCAUUUUCUUGGCAUGGGGAUACUGCAAACCAAUCGAGGAGUGUUUAUUCAUCAAGGGAAAUAUGACAAAUCUCUGCUCAGUAAGUUUGGACUUGAUGAUUGCAAACCAGUUUCCAUUCCCCUGGCCACUGGAGAGAAACUGAAGAAGAAAGAUGGAAGUGAGUUGGCUGAUGAAGGUCUUUAUAGAAGAAUAGUAGGAAGUCUACUAUAUUUGACAGCUACAAGACCUGAUCUAAUGUAUGCUGCAAGUUUAUUAUCAAGGUUCAUGACUGGACCUACCAAGAUUCACAUGGGAGCUGCAAAAAGAGUUCUAAGAUAUGUGCAAGGAACUCUCAGUUAUGGGAUUGAAUAUGUAAGGGAUCAAUCAGCAACUCUCAUUGGAUUUUGUGAUGCAGAUUGGGCAGGAAGUGAAGAUGAUAGCAGGAGUACUUCGGGCUAUGCAUUUAGUUUUGGAAGUGGAGCAUUCUCCUGGUCUUCUGUAAAACAAAACACAGUAGCAUUGUCAACUGCUCAGGCCAUUUGGCUAUAGUUUGUUCUUGAUGAUUUUGGGGAAAUGCAAGCUGAAGCAACACCUUUAUUCUAUGAUAACAUGUCAGCAAUUUCGAUGGCCAAGAAUCCAGUUUUCCAUCAGAGAACAAGACACAUAAACAAGAAGUAUCACUUUUUAAGAGAGGCUCUGCAAGAAGGAGUAAUUGAUGUGAAGUUCUGCAGAAGUGAAGAACAACUUGCAGACAUCUUCACAAAGGCAUUACCCAAAGAUAGAUUCAAGAAACUAAAACUAGAUCUUGGAGUUAAAUCAGUAAACAGCUUAGGAGAGGCUGUUGAAAGCUAAGCUGAUUACUUUUGAUAAAAAAUCGAUGAAGAAGACUGCAGCAAGAAGGAUGAAGAAGUUGCAGAAAUUCUGUUAAAACAGUUAAGAAGGCAGUUAAAACCGUUAUUUCUGUUUUCUGUUUUUACUGUUACAAAACUGAUUGUAAAUCAUUUCCACGUGAGAUGAUCUUGAUUCCUAAAAUAAAGGAAUCAGUUACAUAAAUUGUGUAUAAAAGCAAUGGUUACAGAAUUGAAAGUAAUAAGAAAAUAUACAGAACUUCUUCAUAAUCUUCUCUGCACAUUUAAAGCUUUAUUCUUUCUAUUCUCUUCUUCUUCUCCAACGAAAUACAAGAAAAUCAACUGGCUGGCCUAAUGAACUCACAUUGUUGUGAGCUUUUAGCCCACCAAAAGAAUCCAGUCCUGUUAUGUACUUCACUUUGAUUUGCUUCCACUCAGGACUGCUAACUGUGGCAGCAGCAAGUGUUGCUGGAGAAAGCGUUGCUGAGGCUGUUGCCAGUGACCCAAAACAUGCAAUAUAUAAGAUGAGAAACAGGAACACAAUCACACCUUGUACACACCAAAAACAGAACUUACAAGUUACUACUAAUUACUAUCUAAUUUAAUGAAAUAAGCGUCCUAUGCUUAACAGAGGAAUAUGCAUGUAGUUACCUUUUUUUUCGGUGGAACGUGUUUGUCGGGUUAGAAAUAUUACAAAUAUGAUUAGAAAGGAAGGAAAUGGAAACUUAACUUUGUAUGGGAAAGAACGAGAGAGGAUGGAUAAGGAAACAAUGAGCACCUCUAAAUGCCAGCCAGGAAAAUAAAAUUGAAUAAUUUUACAGUCCAAGCACCAUGGUCUCCAAUUCAAUUCAAUAAAUCAAAAGAAUCCAGGCCCAGGCCAAUUUUAAAAUAGACCAAAAACGAGACACAUCGAGCCCAAAUUAUAAAUAGCUAAAAGAGAUUAGUGUUUUACUGUGCAGCCCACAAUAAAACAUUGAUCUCUGCUAUUUUAUGGAUUUUUUUUCUUGUUUUUUUAUGCCUUUUGAAAAAUUAUUUUUUGCUUCUUUUUUAUUUUUUUAUUUUUGUUUAAUUUAGUUUAUUAAUGUUUAAUUUUUUUUAUUUAGUUAUCAGACUUUCAUGACACGUUUUUCGGAUUUAACGGGUUAACCUGGUUUGAUAAGUUAACCUAGAAUAUUUCUUUUUUGCUUUUUAUUCUUUUUAAUUAAUUUUUUUUGUUUAGUUUAGUUGUUAAUGUUAAAUUUCUUUCUAUUUAGUUAUUAGAUUUUCAUGACAUAUAUCCCGAGUUUCACAGGUUAACCUGGUUUCACGGGAGAACCCAGUUAAUUAUGGGUUGACCCGUCAAUUUUUUUAUUUUCAUAAAUUUUUUUGUUUAAUUUAGUUUGUUAAUGUUAAAUUUUUUUUAUUUAGUUAUCAGACUUUCAUGACACAUAUCAUGGGUUUAACGGGUUAACAUGGUUUGACGAGUUAACCCGAAUUUAUUUUUUGAUUUUUUAUUUUUAAUUAAUUUUUUUUGUUUAGUUCAGUUUGUUAAUGUUCAUUUUUUUUUAGUUAUCAGACAUUCAUGACACGGAUCCGGGGUUUAACGGGUUAACUUGGUUUGACGAGUUAACCUGAAAUUUAUUUUUAUUUUUUUGCUUUUUUUUUCUUUUAAAUUAAUUUUUUUCGUUUAAUUUAAAUUGUUGAUGUUAAAUUUUUUUCUAUUUAGUUAUCAAACUUUCAUGACACGGAUUCCGGGUUUGAUGGGUUAACCUGGUUUAACGAGUUAGCCCAAUUAAUUCUGGGUUAACCCAUUAAUUUGUUUUUUCAUUUUUAAUUAUCAAACUUUCACGAUGCGAAUUCAAUGUAUGACGGGUUAACCUGGUUUGAAGAGUUAACCCAAUUAAUUCAUAUUUUUUUUUCUUUUUCUUCAUUAGUUUUUUUCUUCAUGUUGGUUUCUUUUUCUUUUUAACUAAUUUAUUUAAUUAUCACACUUUUAUGACACGACCUUGCAGUCAGACCCAUGUUCAAUGCUAUUGGGUCUGUAAUUACAGUCCAGACACUUUUAUACUAAGGGUUAACCCAAGUUUAAUGUUAUUAUUAAUAUUAUAAAUAUUACUCUUGGAUUAGGCGUUGCAACCAAACCUAAAACUCUUGGGUAUAACUUUGCAAAAAAAAACUAACACUUUUAGAUUUUAGCUUUUUUUGAAAUCCAAAAAUAAUUGACUCGCUGUAUCGCGCGGGACAUGUAACUAGUAAAAUUGCUAAAAAGAGACUUUCUUCGGACCGAAACAUCAACCGUAUUCUGAUAAGCCCCAAAUAUACUUCAAUAAGCACCCUCUGCAAAAGCUCUCGGUGCAACCUUCUUCCCCAGCCUCAUCAGCUCAAACACGCAAAUAUUUCCUCCCACCAAAUUGUUUUCCGCCGUCCCUUUAUCAAAUUCUACCCUCCGCCUUUUCUCCAUUUUGUUUGACGAAGCCACUCUUUUCCGUCACAAAUCUGAAGUCUGAAAGCAUUCAGAAUCUUCUUGCGGACACCUGUUAGCGGAUGUACUGCAUAAAUCAGCAAGAAUUGCAAUAAUUAGAACUUAACAAACACCUCCAAGAUUGCAUUUUUGUAAAGGCUCGCCAAAACAACACCGUGAAUGCUUAUUAUAAGAGCUGUAAGUACACAUUGAAAAUAAUAAAAUUAUCUACUACAUUUUCGUAAAGGCUCACCAGUAGAUCAUGCUUACUAUAUAAGUUCCUGCAAGAUAGUCAUGAAUGAAGGAUUUUUUGGGCUGGACAUCCAUGCUAUGCUGGCUUUACGCGCUGCAUUCGUAGUUCCUUGUGACGCCUUUGCUAAUGUGGGAAGAUUUUUUAAACUAGUGAUGAUUUCCGAUUCUUCCUGAUCUGCACAUUAUAGAUUCAUAAAUUAAGCACCAUCAUGGAUGUAUACACAAAGAACUCACGAACUUAUUCUGAUGAAGUUCCUUUCUUUAAUGAGAGUUUUUUGAAAAAAAAAGAUUUAUUAUGUGGUUAUCAAAAUUGAAAGCUUACAUUCAAAUUGAAGAAAAAUCAUUGUUAUCAUAAGAUAGGUUUCGUAAGGUGCAAAGUUACUUAUGAUGUUGAAGAUUGGUGAUAAGAUGUUCUAGAAAAUAGAGUUCGUGAUGGUAUGCCUAUAAUCCCAUCAUAAUAAACUAUGAAAACAUUGUUAAUUUUGAAUUAUAUAAAAUGAUAACAAAGAGAUUUUAUAAUGAGCAUAUUAUUAUUAUAACUAUCUUUCUGUUCAUGAAGAUUCACUAUCGUCAAUAUUUAUUGCUCUGCUACUCCCUUUGAUUCAAUUAUGGCCACAAGGGACAAGGGAGCUAUGUCUAACUGAUGGUGACCAGAUGCAAACAAUUUUCUUGUCUGCUUUUGCCAAUUUCAGCUUUCUGCUAGUCCUUCUGUCCAAAUUUGUUUCCACUGAAAUUUUUAAGUUUUGCCCCAGUUGCUUGAGUAGGUUUCAGCUGCAACAGAAAAGUAUAAAACUUUUAAUUGCAGAAAUUUGCUAGAUACUUACCAAGCAACUAGCCUUAACGGUUGUGUCAGCUUCAUCAACAGAAAUGUUACUAUCAUCCAUGAUAGAAAGCAUGACAUGGAUGAAAUCUUUCUCCUCCUCGCUGAUGCUUCUGUUGAGCCCGAUUCGUCGAUGCUCAUCCACCCAGCUCCCAAGCACGCAAUCUAACUCCCUUGCCGUUCUUUUCAUUUUUCCUGUAUAUCCCUUCACCAA